rnacentral:rRNA from 1 species
CGCGCAGGCGGCCAGGUCAGUCGAAUGUGAAAGCCCCCGGCUCAACUGGGGAGGGUCAUUCGAUACUGCCUGGCUUGAAGAUAGGAGAGGGAAGCGGAAUUUCAGGUGUAGUGGUGAAAUGCGUAGAUAUCUGAAGGAACACCAGUGGCGAAGGCGGCUUUCUGGCCUACUCUUGACGCUGAGGCGCGAAAGCUAGGGGAGCGAACG